CAGUAGCCACGGGAAUACGAAGGGGGCUAGCGUUGUUCGGAUUUACUGGGCGUAAAGGGCGCGUAGGCGGACUGAUAAGUCGGGGGUGAAAUCCCAAGGCUCAACCUUGGAACUGCCUUUGAUACUGUUUGUCUUGAGUUCGAGAGAGGUAAGUGGAACUGCGAGUGUAGAGGUGAAAUUCGUAGAUAUUCGCAAGAACACCAGUGGCGAAGGCGACUCUCUGGUCUGUAACUGACGCUGAGGAGCGAAAGCGUGGGGAGCGAACAGGAUUAGAUACCCCCGUAGUCCCUGUCUCUUAUAC
rnacentral:rRNA from 1 species